UUGAAAGGGAAACGAUUGAAGUCAGUCAUGCUGGUGGGAAUCAACUUAGGGGAAACUCUGUGUGCACUUCUUCGCUUGGCAGGUCAACGUCGAUUUUGAAUGUCAUAAAAUAAUUGGGGAAGGUAGCUCCUUCGGGAGUGUUAUAGCCCUUGAUAGAUGUGAUGUUUGAGGUCGAGGAUUGCAACGGAUACCCUUUGGGGCUAGCUGCCUGAUCUCUAAUUGGUGUUGGGUUACGGAUAGCAUGCUGACCGUGAUCUAAUUACUGGUUAAAAGGUUAGAGUAUGCAUAAAUUCGUUAAGGAUGUUGACGUA
rnacentral:rRNA from 1 species